rnacentral:lncRNA from 1 species
ACCACACAUCAGAACAUUAAUAGUAUCAAGGCUAUAAUACUGUCUGAUAUUCAUUCUUUAUUUACAGUGCUUAAGUUUUACUGAAAACAAAAUUUAUUUUAUAACAGCCUAGUUUUUUUUGUUUUUUUGUUUUUUUUUUUCAGAUCUAGGACUUGUUCUAGGAUUGUAUACUGUGUUGGAGCUUUUACUGGUGCUGGGCAUUGAAUCAUCUAUUGCAUCUACCACAGAGUUAUAUUUGGUGUCUGUAUUUGUUUAUGUUUUUAAUUGGUUCUAGGUAUUGGCCAUAGGACCUUGUGAUCCUAGGCUAUAUAGUAGGUUUAUAGCACUGAGCUAUAUACCAGCCUUGAAAGCUUGGCUAAUGUCUUUAUUCUUUUGAAAUGCAUUACAUUAUUUCUCUGCCAACCGCUUUUCUUCUACUCUCCCCCUUGUCAUGGACUUUGGAGAAUCCAGGGCAUUGGUAGGCCACCCUAUACUUUGGCCUUGCCAGAUUGCUUUUCUUGUAUUUUUCUUGCUAUCCUACCUCUGUACAGCUACAAGCUAAGUGUCAGUCCCAGAGCAUUAAUAGAAGCACACUUCACAUAUGGCUUAAGGACACCUCAGGUGGGGCACCAGAGUGUGUCUCGAAAGGAGGCAAAUCACUUCUAUCUAUGGCUGGCUGCCAGGUCAGCUCAUGUGAGUUAGUGAUCGCUGAGUCAUUCAUUUACGUGAAUGACUCCAUGGUGUUGGUUCAGUGUUCUUUGCUUCUGUGUAGAUGCUCUAUAACCACCAACUGCUUCCACACCGAUUUUCAGCAUCUCUCAGGGUGUCUGCUUUUCUGCUUCCAUUCCUGUUUCUUUACCAUUCCCUACCCUCCACUCCUCACAUCUGUCUUUUUCCCUACCUCUC